rnacentral:rRNA from 1 species
GCAGGCGCGCAAAUUACCCAAUCCCGAUACGGGGAGGUAGUGACAAUAAAUAACAAUACAGGGCUUUUCAGUCUUGUAAUUGGAAUGAGUACAAUUUAAAUCUCUUAACGAGGAACAAUUGGAGGGCAAGUCUGGUGCCAGCAGCCGCGGUAAUUCCAGCUCCAAUAGCGUAUAUUAAAGUUGUUGCAGUUAAAAAGCUCGUAGUUGAAUUUUAGGCCCGGUUGGACGGUCUGCCUUUGGGUUUGUACUGUCCUGACUGGGCCUUACCUUCUGGUGAGCUGUCGUGUUGUUUACUCAGCGCGGCAGGGAACCAGGACUUUUACUUUGAAAAAAUUAGAGUGUUUAAAGCAGGCAUUCGCUUGAAUACAUUAGCAUGGAAUAAUAGAAUAGGACUUUGGUUCUAUUUUGUUGGUUUCUAGGACCGAAGUAAUGAUUAAUAGGGAUAGUUGGGGGCAUUAGUAUUUAAUUGUCAGAGGUGAAAUUCUUGGAUUUAUGAAAGACUAACUUCUGCGAAAGCAUUUGCCAAGGAUGUUUUCAUUAAUCAAGAACGAAAGUUAGGGGAUCGAAGACGAU